rnacentral:rRNA from 1 species
ACUCAAAUGAAUAGACGGGGGCCCGCACAAGCAGCGGAGCAUGUGGUUUAAUUCGAAGCAACGCGAAGAACCUUACCUAGACUUGACAUCUCCUGCAUUACCCUUAAUCGGGAAAGUUCCUUCGGGGACAGGAAGACAGGUGGUGCAUGGUUGUCGUCAGCUCGUGUCGUGAGAUGUUGGGUUAAGUCCCGCAACGAGCGCAACCCUUAUUGUUAGUUGCUACCAUUUAGUUGAGCACUCUAGCGAGACUGCCCGGGUUAACCGGGAGGAAGGUGGGGAUGACGUCAAAUCAUCAUGCCCCUUAUGUCUAGGGCUACACACGUGCUACAAUGGCAAGUACAAAGAGACGCAAUACCGCGAGGUGGAGCAAAACUCAAAAACUUGUCUCAGUUCGGAUUGUAGGCUGAAACUCGCCUACAUGAAGCUGGAGUUGCUAGUAAUCGCGAAUCAGCAUGUCGCGGUGAAUACGUUCCCGGGCCUUGUACACACCGCCCGU